rnacentral:misc_RNA from 1 species
UCCGGUUUUUCACCGGCAGUCCCUUUAGAGUGCUCAGCAUAAUCUGGUGGCAACUAAAGGCAGGGGUUGCGCUCGUUGCGGGACUUAACCCAACAUCUCACGACACGAGCUGACGACAGCCUUGCAGCACCUGUGCUGGUACCCGACUCUACGGGUCGCCGACCCUUUCGGGCGACUACUGCCAACAUGUCAAGCCCUGGUAAGGUUCUUCGCUUUGCAUCGAAUUAAGCCACGCGCUCCGCCGCUUGUGCGGGCCCCCGUCAAUUCCUUUGAGUUUCAACCUUGCGGUCGUACUCCCCAGGCGGGGUACUUCCUGCGUUAGCGCCGGCACCCAGAGGGUCGCUCCCCCAGGCACCUAGUACCCAUCGUUUACGGCGUGGACUAC